CUUACGGGGGGCUGCAGUGGGGAAUAUUGGACAAUGGGCGAAAGCCUGAUCCAGCCAUGCCGCGUGUGUGAAGAAGGCCUUCGGGUUGUAAAGCACUUUCAGUGGGGAAGAAAGCCUUGGGGCUAAUACCCUCGAGGAAGGACAUCACCCACAGAAGAAGCACCGGCUAACUCCGUGCCAGCAGCCGCGGUAAUACGGAGGGUGCGAGCGUUAAUCGGAAUUACUGGGCGUAAAGCGCGCGUAGGCGGUCUGAUAAGCCGGUUGUGAAAGCCCCGGGCUCAACCUGGGAACGGCAUCCGGAACUGUCAGGCUAGAGUGCAGGAGAGGAAGGUAGAAUUCCCGGUGUAGCGGUGAAAUGCGUAGAGAUCGGGAGGAAUACCAGUGGCGAAGGCGGCCUUCUGGACUGACACUGACGCUGAGGUGCGAAAGCGUGGGUAGCAAACAGGAUUAGAUACCCUAGUAGUC
rnacentral:rRNA from 1 species